rnacentral:rRNA from 1 species
AACGAACGCUGGCGGCGCGUUUUAAGCAUGCAAGUCGAACGGCAAGGGAUGUAGCAAUACGUUCCCUAGAGUGGCGAACGGGUGAGUAAGACGUAGGUGAUCUACCCCUGGAUGGGGGAUAGUCCGUGGAAACACGGGGUAAUACCGCAUGAGGCCUUGGUGGUAAAGCGCUGAGGUGAAAGCUCCAACUGGAGCGUCUGGGGAUGAGCAUGCGGCCCAUUAGGCAGUUGGCGGGGUAACGGCCCACCAAACCGACGAUGGGUAGCCGGCCUGAGAGGGUGUACGGCCACACUGGAACUGAGACACGGUCCAGACUCCUACGGGAGGCAGCAGCUAAGAAUCUUCCGCAAUGGGGGCAACCCUGACGGAGCGACGCCGCGUGGACGAUGAAGGCCGUAAGGUUGUAAAGUCCUUUUGCAGGUGAAGAAUAAGCCGGGGAGUGGAAAGCCCUGGUGAUGACGUUAGCCUGCGAAUAGGCCCCGGCCAAUUACGUGCCAGCAGCCGCGGUAAGAC